ACUCACAUACAACGCCAUCCAACAAGAAGCCCACGAGCCCGCUCGACCCUUUCGGGUUCCUGGUCGCGUCCGCCGCCGUGCCUCGUCGGCGAGGAUGGCGCGGUGGUCGUCCCCGAAGGACCCGGAGCUAGAGGCCGCGCUCCGGCGCAACCGCCGCUGGGUGGUGAACAACCAGAUCAAGCGCCUCCUCCUCCGCUUCCCGUCGCGCACGGCACCGGUGCGGUUCCUCCAGUCCCGCUUCAAGACGCUCGACCUCAUGGGCCGCGCCGCCAACUGGCUCCGCAAGUACCCCUCCUGCUUCGAGGUCUUCUCCGCCGACGCCGGGGGCGGCGGCGGAGGCGAGGAGGAGCCCCACUUCGGCUUCACCAAGCGGAUGGCUGCGCUCGUCGACGCCGAGGGGGCCGCCCUCGACGCCUCCGAGCCCGCCAUGGCCGGCCGCCUCGCCCGCGUGCUCAUGCUCGCCCGCGGCCGCCGCUUCCAGGUCUCCAAGCUCGCCGCGCUGCGGGGCCCGCUCGGCCUCCCCGACGACUACCUCCUCCGUCUCCUCCCUGCCCACACCGACCUCUUCCGACUUGCCAACCCCUACCCGCACCGCUGCAACGCCGCAGAGCUGGAGCUUAUCCGGUGGGUGCCCUCGCUCGCUGUCUCCGCCGUGGAGGCCGCCGCGGCCGCGAGUGACUCCGCGCCGCGGUUCACUUGCUCGUUGCCGGCCUCCUGGGUCAAGUCGCACGCCAAGAUGGAGGAGUUCAACUCCACACCUUACAUCUCGCCCUUCUCGGAGGAGUGGGUGGUGCCGGCCACGGACGCCGAGGCCGAGAAGCGAGCGGUGGCAGUGGUUCACGAGCUCCUCUCACUGACGCUGUGGAAAAAGAUGUCAAUUUUGAAGCUGGAGCAUUUCAGGAGGGAGUUUGGGCUGCCGGAGGACACGGCAAGGAUGCUGCUCCGUCACCCUUGCCUCUUCUACGUGUCCAAUAGGUACAAGAUACACACGGUGGUGCUCCGUGAGGGGUACCAUGGGUCAGACUUGAGGGAGAAGGAUCCGGUGGUGGUGUCAAAGGAAAGGCUCGGGGACCUAAUGCAGGAGGGGCUGCACGAGUAUAACCAGCGGCACCGUGCUGCGAAUUUGGAGAAGAAGAGGAGGAGAGGGGAGGUUGAGGUAAAGGAGGAGGAAGAGGUGGUAGACGACAAGGAAGUGGCGCGGUUGGAUAGUGCAGAGAAGAGGGAGGAGAGGAGGAGGUUCUACAAGGUGUUGUUUGGUGAUGAUAAUCGGUGAUCGUCCUAAGUUUUGCCUUGUUGAUAUUCAGAGGAAGGAAAAGAUCAUCAGCACAUGGUUUGCUGAUUGAGAUGAAUCAGCUUGUGCAUUUCUGUGUUUUGCAGUGUGCGAAAGCAAUUAAAUUAUGGAUGCAAUAAGAUCGGCAAACCAUACAGAUGUGCGUUGCUGUCCGGUCACAGGGAAUGGAAUACAUUUAAUGCCAAAAAUAAUCUUUGACCGAAGAACUGCAAAUGAUUGCAAUAAGAACCACCAUAUGGUUUGAUCUUUCUGAUUAAACCAAUCACUUUACAGAUGUAAUAACAUUAGGAUUGUUGCAGAGGCUGUAGAACAUAUUGCUGAAAGCAUUUAUUCUACAGGAUUCACAAGGGAAAUCAUAAUGCAGACUGAUGGUGUUAGCGUGUGACAGCAAAAGGUAUUCAUGAGCUGCAAAUGUUGCUGUCGGGAAGUUGUGAUUGAAGAACUAAAUGAACAUUGCAAGAUUGUUUGAUCUUUCAGGAGAACAAUAAUCUUACCUUUUUGUGGAGCUUGUUUUGUAUAGCAAAUAUCUUCAGGCUAAGAAAUUGAACUUUGUGAGCUUGUAGAGGGAGGGAUACCUUUGGCCAUGUUGAAGCUGCGUUUCUCCAGCUCUCUGUACUCCUGGCACAGCGCACAAGUGUCGCAGCAGAAGUGAACGCAGCAGUCCAAGCAGGGCGAUUCUAGGUCCCGUUCGUGCAGCAGGCUGGAAACAAGAAGAGAGUCAGCCAAGGAAAUGGAUGGGUUUUAUGCAUGUUCCAAAGAGAAGAUGAUGAGUAGAACACCCACAUGUGGAGCCUCUGUCCACAAUCUGAGUAACGCGGCCAAAUGUAACACAGGGGCACCAGCAAGUCAAGCAACCAGCAACAUCGGUAAAGAAAUGAAACAUUGCAUCGUUCUGAAACCCAUGUGCAAGAAGUACGAGAAGCACAGAGAAGCUAGAUUGCAUACACGUGCUGAAAUCUCCAAAGCAUUCGAAAAGCCCAACUGACCUCUCCCCCGUCAUGCUGUUAAUCGGUUAGAUAGAUUGUGGUUGAGCAAGGUGGUAAAACGAGGUGUCUAGCUGUGUGUUUUUGUGCAAUGCUACUUUUGGUCCUCUUGGCAUUAUAUACCACUAACGGUGUGGCAUCACUAUGAACACAUUACGAAGUUAAUUACUUUAAUGGCCCAUCUCAGAACAGAAACUUUUGUCCUUUCUUUGCAUUUCUUUGGUAGUUGCACUGAAAUGCUUUAUAUCGUUUUGUGUUUGCAGGCUUGGCCUUGAAUUGGUCCUCCUGAGGAUCCCAUGUCUAAUUGCCAUGUUCUGUUUUGAACCAUUCUUUCUGAAAUUCCUAUGCUUAAUAAGUGUUCAGGGCUUGGCAACAUUUUGGAAUUUCCAGUUUGGUGGUAAUUUCCAUUCCUUUUUGUUAUUGUUCUCAUUUAUCGGAACAGUUUGUUGGUAACUU